rfam:Felis catus isolate Cinnamon breed Abyssinian chromosome A2, whole genome shotgun sequence.
AAAGGACCUGUAUAAAACAAAAGAUGGCCAAGAAGUAGAAGGAAAAUUAAACUAAAGCCGGGAGUUCAGCUUUGCUUAA